rnacentral:rRNA from 2 species
UAAAACCAGCACCUCAAGUGGUCAGGAUGAUUAUUGGGCCUAAAGCAUCCGUAGCCGGCUCUGUAAGUUUUCGGUUAAAUCUGUACGCUUAACGUACAGGCUGCCGGGAAUACUGCAGAGCUAGGGAGUGGGAGAGGUAGACGGUACUCGGUAGGAAGGGGUAAAAUCCUUUGAUCUAUUGAUGACCACCUGUGGCGAAGGCGGUCUACCAGAACACGUCCGACGGUGAGGGAUGAAAGCUGGGGGAGCAAACCGGAUUAGAUACCCGGGUAGUCCCAGCUGUAAACUAUGCAAACUCAGUGAUGCAUUGACUUGUGGUCAAUGCAGUGCUGCAGGGAAGCCGUUAAGUUUGCCGCCUGGGAAGUACGUACGCAAGUAUG